rnacentral:rRNA from 1 species
AGUGAACGCUGGCGGUAGGCCUAACACAUGCCAGUCGAACGGCAGCACAGUAAGAGCUUGCUCUUACGGGUGGCGAGUGGCGGACGGGUGAGGAAUACAUCGGAAUCUACUUUUUCGUGGGGGGAUAACGUAGGGAAACUUACGCUAAUACCGCAUACGACCUACGGGUGAAAGCAGGGGAUCUUCGGACCUUGCGCGAUUGAAUGAGCCGAUGUCGGAUUAGCUAGUUGGCGGGGUAAAGGCCCACCAAGGCGACGAUCCGUAGCUGGUCUGAGAGGAUGAUCAGCCACACUGGAACUGAGACACGGUCCAGACUCCUACGGGAGGCAGCAGUGGGGAAUAUUGGACAAUGGGCGCAAGCCUGAUCCAGCCAUACCGCGUGGGUGAAGAAGGCCUUCGGGUUGUAAAGCCCUUUUGUUGGGAAAGAAAAGCAGCAGGUUAAUACCCCGCUGUUCUGACGGUACCCAAAGAAUAAGCACCGGCUAACUUCGUG